AUUUCUACAAAAGACAUCAAACUGAGGCUGGAUGCAAUCUGAGGGAUGGUGGGAAGAGAUGAAGGGAUGGAAGAAGACUGAAGGAGACAACAUAUGUAGGUUGGAAGAGAUGCUGCCUGGCAUGCUGAGUGUUGUUCUACUUUACAGAAU